rnacentral:rRNA from 1 species
UACAGAGGGGGCAAGCGUUGUUCGGAAUUACUGGGCGUAAAGGGCGCGUAGGCGGCCUGCUAAGUCGAACGUGAAAUCCCUGGGCUCAACCCAGGAACUGCGUCCGAUACUGGAAGGCUUGAAUCCGGGAGAGGGAUGCGGAAUUCCAGGUGUAGCGGUGAAAUGCGUAGAUAUCUGGAGGAACACCGGUGGCGAAGGCGGCAUCCUGGACCGGCAUUGACGCUGAGGCG